CAGGAUGAACGCUGGCGGCGUGCCUAAUACAUGCAAGUCGAGCGAGAAUCUGAAGAUCUGCGAUUCGUCAAAGAGAUCAGAGGAAAGCGGCGGACGGGUGAGUAACGCGUAGGCAACCUGCCCCUAGCAGAGGGAUAGCCAUUGGAAACGAUGAUUAAAACCUCAUAAUGCUGUUUUAACACAUGUUGAGACAGCCAAAGAUUUAUCGGCUGGGGAUGGGCCUGCGUCUGAUUAACUAGUUGGUGAGGUAACGGCCCACCAAGGUGACGAUCAGUAGCCGACCUGAGAGGGUGAUCGGCCACAUUGGAACUGAGACACGGUCCAAACUUCUACGGAAGGCAGCAGUAAGGAAUCUUGCACAAUGGGGGAAACCCUGAUGCAGCAACGCCGCGUGAACGAUGAAGGCCUUAGGGUUGUAAAGUUCUGAUCUGGGGGAAGAAGAAGUGACGGUACCCCAGGAGAAAGCCCCGGCUAAAUACGUGCCAGCAGCAGC
rnacentral:rRNA from 1 species